AUGCAAGUCGAACGAACCUUCGGGUUAGUGGCGGACGGGUGAGUAACGCGUGAGAAUCUGCCCUCAGGAGGGGGAUAACGGUUGGAAACGACCGCUAAUACCCCAUAUGCCGAGAGGUGAAAUGAAUUUCGCCUGAGGAUGAGCUCGCGUCUGAUUAGUUAGUUGGUGGGGUAAUGGCCUACCAAGACAUCGAUCAGUAGCUGGUCUGAGAGGAUGAUCAGCCACACUGGGACUGAGACACGGCCCAGACUCCUACGGGAGGCAGCAGUGGGGAAUUUUCCGCAAUGGGCGAAAGCCUGACGGAGCAACGCCGCGUGAGGGAUGAAGGCCUCUGGGCUGUAAACCUCUUUUAUCAAGGAAGAAGAUCUGACGGUACUUGAUGAAUAAGCCACGGCUAAUUCCGUGCCAGCAGCCGCGGUAAUACGGGAGUGGCAAGCGUUAUCCGGAAUUAUUGGGCGUAAAGCGUCCGCAGGCGGUCUGUCAAGUCUGCUGUUAAAGCGUGGAGCUUAACUCCAUUUCGGCAGUGGAAACUGACAGACUAGAGUGUGGUAGGGGCAGAGGGAAUUCCCGGUGUAGCGGUGAAAUGCGUAGAUAUCGGGAAGAACACCAGUGGCGAAGGCGCUCUGCUGGGCCAUAACUGACGCUCAUGGACGAAAGCCAGGGGAGCGAAAGGGAUUAGAUACCCCUGUAGUCCUGGCCGUAAACGAUGAACACUAGGUGUCGGGGAAUCGACCCCCUCGGUGUCGUAGCCAACGCGUUAAGUGUUCCGCCUGGGGAGUACGCACGCAGUGUGAAACUCAAAGGAUUGACGGGGCCCGCACAAGCGUGAGUAUGUGUAAUCGAGCACGCGCAGAACUACACCUGACAUUGUCGCACUCAAGAUGAGUCAUCGGGACGCAGACAGUGCUGCAUGCUGUCGUCAGCUC
rnacentral:rRNA from 1 species